GACGAACGCUGGCGGCGCGCCUAACACAUGCAAGUCGAACGGAGAUCUUUGAAUGAAGUUUUCGGAUGGAUUUCUUUGAUCUUAGUGGCGGACGGGUGAGUAACACGUGAGGAACCUGCCCUAUAGUGUGGAAUAAUGUUUGGAAACGGACACUAAUACCGCAUAAUGCAAUUUGGUGGCAUCACCGAAUUGCCAAAGAUUUAUCGCUAUAGGAUGGCCUCGCGUCUGAUUAGAUAGUUGGUGGGGUAACGGCCUACCAAGUCGACGAUCAGUAGCCGGACUGAGAGGUUGAUCGGCCACAUUGGGACUGAGACACGGCCCAG
rnacentral:rRNA from 1 species